rnacentral:rRNA from 1 species
UACAGAGGUCUCAAGCGUUGUUCGGAUUCACUGGGCGUAAAGGGUGCGUAGGUGGCCGGGUAAGUCUGACGUGAAAUCUCCGAGCCUAACUCGGAAACUGCAUCGGAUACUAUCCGGCUUGAGGGUUGGAGGGGGGACUGGAAUACUUGGUGUAGCAGUGAAAUGCGUAGAUAUCAAGUGGAACACCAGUGGCGAAGGCGAGUCCCUGGACAACUCCUGACACUGAGGCACGAAAGCUAGGGGAGCAAACAGG